rnacentral:rRNA from 1 species
CCUACGGGUGGCAGCAGUGAGGAAUAUUGGUCAAUGGGCGAGAGCCUGAACCAGCCAAGUCGCGUGCGGGAGUACUGCCCUAUGGGUUGUAAACCUCUUUUGUCGGGGAGCAAAAGCCGGACGUGUCCGGCUGUGAGAGUACCCGAAGAAAAAGCAUCGGCUACCUCCGUGCCAGCAGCCGCGGUAAUACGGAGGAUGCGAGCGUUAUCCGGAUUUAUUGGGUUUAAGGGGAGCGUAGGCGGGUUGUUAAGUCAGUUGUGAAAGUGUGCGGCUCAACCGUAAAAUUGCAGUUGAUACUGGCAGCCUUGAGUACAGUAGAGGAAGGCGGAAUUCGUGGUGUAGCGGUGAAAUGCUUAGAUAUCACGAAGAACUCCGAUUGCGAAGGCAGGCGGCUGGACUGUAACUGACGCUGAUGCUCGAAAGUGUGGGUAUCAAACAGGAUUAGAUACCCUAGUAGUC